GACAGCAGGAAGGAGGAGCGGAGCAGGUCGCUGUGCGCAACGUCGCAAGAGGAGCUGAAGGCCCGAGGAAAAGAAAAAAGGAAAAGAAAACGUAGUAGGAGCAGAUCAUCAUCAGUGUCAUCCACAUCAUCUUCUGGUACCUCCACAACAUCCUCCUCUUCCUCCUCGUCACGCUCAUCAUCGAGGUCUUCUUCCAGCAGCCGAGAUUCUCCUAAAUCUAAAUCAAAGAAAAGGAAA